rnacentral:lncRNA from 1 species
GUCUCGAGACUGAAAUGGCUAGUUUGAUUCAAAUAACCCUAAGUUUAGGGUUGUUAUUGUUUUUGCUCAGAAAAUGUGUUGGUUCAGAAGCCUCCUUUUCCUGAACAUUGGUUGCUUCCUCAACCGUGCGUUUGUUACUGUCAGAAACAGUGAGGCCAACUGUCUCUUGAAGAUCAACUGGCGAGAACUUUGGCUAGAAUUGGAUCAAGUGAACCCAGAAGGCCCAUCUCAAGAAUGUUCCUUUAUGGACAAAGGCAGUUUAUGUGAUCCAAGAGACAUAGUGAAACCACUACGAUCCCGCUUCAGUCAUCAACUGACUACCAUUACAGUUAAUGAAUGCUUUAAAAAGAUGAAAAUAUUUUUGAACAGGGACACUCACUGUGCUUGGCAGGUGAUCCACCAAGAUGCCUUAGUGAUUUUUCAACAACUAGAGUUCUACAUUGUUACUUCACAGCUGAACUGACCCGCAAGCUGAAGAUCUGACACUCUUGUGGGACAAUUGUUGCUGCUAUAAAGGUUGAUGGUGUUGACUAUAUUUGUGCAAUAAUGUUAGUUUUC